ensembl:lncRNA
GUACUCUGCUGAGUGCUGGUAUUUAAAACAGCCCCAUGGGGAUCGGUGUUUUUCUUCAGUUUGUGUCAACUUGGUUUGAGCAUUCUUCAGACUGAGAAUGGAAAAGUGAAGCAUGCACGGAAAAAAGCCUUAAGGGAGAAAAGCUGUUUGAGCUAUAAGCUAAGUACCCAUCAGAGAGAUCAACAAAUGAAGUGAAUCUUCCUGGAAAUAAGGAGGCCAAGGAAAAUAUGUAGUUACUCCUGAACAAGUAUGUCAAGAAGCUGACUCAGCAGCUCAGGAUUUGCUCCAGUGGGUAGAAGGCAAGGAAAGAAAAGCAAUUCUUGGGCUUGAUGAGUGUUAUACUCUACCUUAAUGCAUCUUUUUAACUGAUCUGUCAGAAACAUUUCAGACCUAUUAAUCCUGAAAAUCUUCUCUCAGUUUGUCUCUGAUUCAUGCUAAUAGCUCUCCUCUCUUGGAGCAAUGAUAACAAUGCUUUAUAGAAUUCCUACACAGUAAAAGGCAGG